GUGGCAUUCUGCAUCAGCUUUAUACCAAGCUUUUCUUCUUACCUUAUAUCCACGCUCUGCAUCGUCCUAAAUCCAAUGACGGACAUUUAUUGCCGUUAAGAUGGAAGAAAUGAACUAGAAAUAUUUAUGAUGAUUUACUUGAAUGAUUACAUUUGAGCGCCAUUCCAAAACACCGGGCUGUCUCGUCACGCUCUGCUCCACCGGACCGAGAGAACAAGGAAUGAGGGAGCCUGAUUAGAAGGGAACGGCUGGGAAAAGGCAAAGACGUUGGUCUUUGCUUCCUACUCAUGGACUUCUUCCCUCUCUGCCUGUUUGCUGACCCUGGGAUCAGAAAGCGGACAAGCCGAGCUGCCCCUCAUGCUUGGUAUGUUUUUAGCGGACAGAUUUCAGGCCUGGCGCUUGGACAGAGAAGGCGCAGACUAGUCAUGCAAAUUCCCACGCGGAGACAACAAAGCAAACAAUUUACUACUAUUUUGUUAUUUAAAAAUCCCUUAUAGUCAAAUAAAUGCACCAGUAUGAAU